rnacentral:rRNA from 1 species
CACGUAGGGGGCGAGCGUUGUCCGGAUUUACUGGGCGUAAAGGGCGCGUAGGCGGUCUUUUAAGUCAGAUGUGAAAUACCCGGGCUCAACUUGGGUGCUGCAUUUCAAACUGGAAGUCUAGAGUGCAGGAGAGGAGAAUGGAAUUCCCAGUGUAGCGGUGAAAUGCGUAGAUAUCGGGAAGAACACCCGUGGCGAAGGCGGCUCUCUGGGACGGUACUGACGCUGAGACGCGAAAGCGUGGGGAGCGAACAGG